UGGUAGCUCAGUCUGGUAGAGCACCCCUGAAAAGGGACUGUCGCAGGUUCGACUCCUGCCCAUU
rnacentral:tRNA from 1 species